rnacentral:rRNA from 1 species
AUUGAACGCUGGCGGCAGGCCUAACACAUGCAAGUCGAACGGUAACAGGAAGAAGCUUGCUUCUUUGCUGACGAGUGGCGGACGGGUGAGUAAUGUCUGGGAAACUGCCUGAUGGCGGGGGAUAACUACUGGAAACGGUAGCUAAUACCGCAUAACGUCGCAAGACCAAAGAGGGGGACCUUCGGGCCUCUUGCCAUCGUAUGUGCCCAGAUGGGAUUAGCUAGUAGGUGGGGUAACGGCUCACCUAGGCGACGAUCCCUAGCUGGUCUGAGAGGAUGACCAGCCACACUGGAACUGAGACACGGUCCAGACUCCUACGGGAGGCAGCAGUGGGGAAUAUUGCACAAUGGGCGCAAGCCUGAUGCAGCCAUGCCGCGUGUAUGAAGAAGGCCUUCGGGUUGUAAAGUACUUUCAGCGGGGAGGAAGGGAGUAAAGUUAAUACCUUUGCUUAUUGACGUUACCCGCAGAAGAAGCACCGGCUAACUCCGUG